rnacentral:lncRNA from 1 species
AUUAGAGUUCAAAAUGAAGCAAGUCAACAAAGAAAAAAAGAUAAUCUCUCAGAUGGGUUUUAAAAGAUUAAAUGAUUCACCAUCAGAAUUUUAAAAUGAAAGAUUCUUUUUUGAAAUAACAUAUAUGCCUCUGUAUAUUUAAUGAUCGGUGAAUGAUCUCUUUAAGAUCACCUAGAUUUUUCCUCUCCAUCACCACGGCCUCAUGUAAACUAUCAGAGUCUCCUACUUAGAAU